UACCCAUCUAAGGUUGUUGGGAAUACUGAGCCGAUACUUGUAAAGUGUUCAAAAUGCCAGUGCUGUUUAUUGGUUCAGAGCUGGAGAAAACAAGAGUAGACCCAGAUGGAGGGACACAUCCAGGUUUUCCUUUCUCAUUUCGGCUUCUACUUCAGACAGGCUUUUUCCAUUGCCAAAGGCCACUUCAGUCUGAUGUCAUGUCAGUUUAAUGGUAUCAGAGGAAAAGAGAGCAGUGUUUCCCUGUUUCGGUGGAGCACUGCACUUAUAAAUCCUGAAGAAUGGCUCUGCCUUGGCUGAGCUUGGCCAUGAUCACCCGUAGUUUCUCGAGGUGCCAUGAUUGAGAUUGGAGCCACCUGCCUGGAGGAAGGACAGGCUGUUUUCCACAGGGGCGGGAUGUUCUUACCAGAAGGACAGAAGGCAGUUGAGUGACCAGGAUGACAGAUGCUGCCAUGCAAGGGUUGUGGGUGCACCUGGGUUGGCACCGUGUCUGAUCCGGGAGGAUUACAGGAUGAGCUUAUCAUGGAACAUAAGAAAAAUAAAACAGAUGUCAGCCUGUGUAUGAAGAAUUCAUCCACAAGAUUUGCUCACUCUUCAAU
rnacentral:lncRNA from 1 species